rnacentral:rRNA from 1 species
GACGAACGCUGGCGGCGUGCUUAACACAUGCAAGUCGAACGGAAAGGCCCUGCUUUCGUGGGGUGCUCGAGUGGCGAACGGGUGAGUAACACGUGAGUAACCUGCCCUUGACUUUGGGAUAACUUCAGGAAACUGGGGCUAAUAUCGGAUAGGAGCUCCUGCUGCAUGGAGGGGGUUGGAAAGUUUCGGCGGUUGGGGAUGGACUCGCGGCUUAUGAGCUUGUUGGUGGGGUAGUGGCUUACCAAGGCUUUGACGGGUAGCCGGCCUGAGAGGGUGAACGGCCACAAUGGGACUGAGAUACGGCGCAGACUCCUACGGGAGGCAGCAGUGGGGAAUAUUGCACAGUGGGCGGACGCCUGAUGCAGCAACGCCGCGUGCGGGAUGACGGCCUUCGGGUUGUAAACCGCUUUCGCCUGUGACGCAGCGUGAGUGACGGUAAUGGGUAAAGAAGCACCGGCUAACUACGUG